rnacentral:rRNA from 1 species
AACGAACGCUGGCGGCAGGCCUAACACAUGCAAGUCGAACGCCCUGGCGACAGGGAGUGGCAGACGGGUGAGUAACGCGUGGGAACGUGCCUUUCGGUUCGGAAUAACCCAGGGAAACUUGGACUAAUACCGGAUACGGUGCGAGAGCAGAAAGAUUUAUCGCCGAAAGAUCGGCCCGCGUCCGAUUAGCUAGUUGGUGAGGUAAAGGCUCACCAAGGCGACGAUCGGUAGCUGGUCUGAGAGGAUGAUCAGCCACACUGGGACUGAGACACGGCCCAGACUCCUACGGGAGGCAGCAGUGGGGAAUCUUGCGCAAUGGGCGAAAGCCUGACGCAGCGACGCCGCGUGAGGGAUGACGG